rnacentral:rRNA from 1 species
UACGUAGGGUGCGAGCGUUGUCCGGAAUUACUGGGCGUAAAGAGCUCGUAGGUGGUUUGUCGCGUUGUUCGUGAAAACUCACAGCUCAACUGUGGGCGUGCGGGCGAUACGGGCAGACUAGAGGUAGGUAGGGGAGAUCGGAAUUCCUGGUGUAGCGGUGAAAUGCGCAGAUAUCAGGAGGAACACCGGUGGCGAAGGCGGAUCUCUGGGCCUUACCUGACGCUCAGGUGCGAAAGCUAGGGGAGCGAACAGG